rnacentral:rRNA from 1 species
CCUACGGGAGGCUGCAGUGGGGAAUAUUGGACAAUGGGCGAAAGCCUGAUCCAGCCAUGCCGCGUGUGUGAAGAAGGCCUUCGGGUUGUAAAGCACUUUCAGUGGGGAAGAAAGCCUUGGGGCUAAUACCCUCGAGGAAGGACAUCACCCACAGAAGAAGCACCGGCUAACUCCGUGCCAGCAGCCGCGGUAAUACGGAGGGUGCGAGCGUUAAUCGGAAUUACUGGGCGUAAAGCGCGCGUAGGCGGUCUGAUAAGCCGGUUGUGAAAGCCCCGGGCUCAACCUGGGAACGGCAUCCGGAACGGUCGGCUAGAGUGCAGGAGAGGAAGGUAGAAUUCCCGGUGUAGCGGUGAAAUGCGUAGAGAUCGGGAGGAAUACCAGUGGCGAAGGCGGCCUUCUGGACUGACACUGACGCUGCGGUGCGAAAGCGUGGGUAGCAAACAGGAUUAGAUACCCUAGUAGUC